AAGCAACACUCUGUGGCAGAUGAUGAAAACUGUCUGACACAUUUCUAGCUUGCCAUAACAGCAAAGUCUAACCUAUUCAGGUGCUCUCUCCUCUACAGGACAAGACCUUAUAUAGACUUAGACAGU